GUAGUUACUUCUGGAAAAUGGGUUCUGGAGAAUAGGUUAUGAGACAAAGUGAUACAAAAAUUUGCAGGCUGAUGUAAGACCUGCUAGUACUUUCUUCUUCUACCACAACAAUCACAUACUGAGAUGGUGAAAUCACAAGGCUGAGGCAGCCUGAAUUACCGGGUCCCCUUAUGGACAGCAGUUGAGCUGGAGAGCUGCCUGGUCCCACUGGAUACUUUGUGGGAUUUGAGGAUUGUGUAUUAAAGUAGCAUAACAUACCCUGUUUUGUCUAAUGCAGGCCUCAGGUGGAAACAAGUUUUAUGGGUUACAAGAAGAGAUAGAAGACUAGGAUAGGAGCAGAGUGAACACAGGAGAGAUUGUCAGAAGCCAGAUUAUGUAGGCAUCGUACACCAAGCUCAUUGUGUUGAGCCAUAUGCCAUGUGCUGAUUGAUGAGGACUGCUUUUUAGGAGAACUGGCUUAUCAUAU
rnacentral:lncRNA from 1 species